CCUCUUUUACCUUUUACACAUCUCUUGUUAAUUUCUGUCAUUUAAUAUUCUUUAAUCCAUUCAAUCAGAAGAUUAAAAAUUGAAUAAAGUGUGUAAAUAACACCACUCUUCUCUUAAUCAAGUAUUUCAAUGAGUCCCACUUAAUGAUGUUUCUUUGCUUUUUCGUAAAUCAUUGUAACUUUUCUUUUGGCUUGUAAUGAAUGUCUCCUUCCAAGGUCGUUCACCGCCCUUCUCCUAAUUAUGUAAAUUAGUCCAUUUAAUGACCUUUUCUUGCUUUUUCCUAAAUCGUUAUAACUUCUUCUUCUUCUUUUUUUUCUUUUUUUUUCUAAAAGCAACUCCACCUUUGCUUAUUGUCUUGGGGAUGAGCAACCCAAUUUAAUUGUAGCAACGGUUCUUCCAACAUGAAUCUUUUUAACAUAAUUUUGAUAGAGUUGACAUAAAGAAUCAUAGUUGCAUAUUUUGGUAAGUUCAGAGGCCAAUGAUAAUGAAUUUUUUUUUAUUGAUCAUUGCUCUAAUUGAAUUAAAAUUAAAGAAUUAUUGAUACAAUUUUCUCUUAAAAAAACAAGUAAAAAUAUGCAAGAGGAAGGAAGAGAGGAGCAAUUUUCUAUAUUUUUGAAUUAAUUUUAAUUCACAUGAAAUCCGGAACAGGAUGAUGUGUUUUUCUUUGUAAUGAAGGGAAAGGGAUCCUCUCCAUAUCCCUUCCUCGUAAUCUACCAAAUCAGGAAAUUUGUAUUGUUAAAAUUUGAUUCAACGGUUAAAAACAGAUAUCUACUUUAAAAAUUAUAAUAACUUCAAUUAUUGGAUCAAAUUUCAACGGUAUGAAUGUUCUAAUUUGAUGGAUUAGAAGAAAAGAGAAUUUCUUUCCGUAACGAAGGAUUAUCGUGUGUAAGUCUUUAUUCACAUAUCUCAAUUAACUCAAUUAACUACGAUUGUGACGGGCACCUGUUACAUGUACAUCAAUCUCAAUUAUUACAUUAGUCAGUCCUGCCAUUGACCGACUGUUUGGCAUCAUGGGCUUCUUACGUGUACGUCAAUCUCAACUAUUACAUAAGUCAAUCAUAUCAGGUAUCGUUUGAUAUAUAGACGGGACGGGACAAGACGAGACGGAACAAAGGGAGCAAAGAUGCCUUCGGAUGGAAAAAAGGAGGAAGAAGAAGGAGACGGAGAUGUUAUAAUUUUGUGUUCCACGGAUGUGGAACGAGUCGUUCCAGGAAGGUGAGGUGGAACAAAAAUUUAUCCAAAACUCGUCCCGUGAAACAGCGCAUUCCACCUGUUUCCGUGGAACAACGCAUUCCACCCGUUUUAGGCGCACCAAAUGUGGGACGGAACACCUCAUCUCAUUUCGUUCCGUCCUGUCCCACGUACCAAUACCUCAUUGAACGACUGUCCGGCAUCAUGGGCCUGGCUUUAACUUAGCAUGACUUUUCCUCUUGGAUAUUUUUCAAUACUUUUGCUGCACGGAGGGUGCUCUAGCCACUAGAAGGUUAGACUUCUUUCUUGGUCAUGUAGAACUUUAAUUUCUAAUUCCAAUUUGAAUUUCCACUCUCAUUUCUCUAAAGACUUGAAAGUAAACGCAAGAAUAUAACUUUUCUUCUAAAAAUUUCAUCCCUUUAUCCAAUUGCAAACUAGCAAUCUCAUUCCCUAGACUUGAAAGUAAACACAAUAAUAUUAUUUAGUUGUGUUAUUUACACACUUUCUUUUACCUCAAACGCAUCCUUUAUUAAUUUUUGUUUUUUUUAUUGUUUUAAGUUCAUUAUAUCGGCGAUUGAAAAUUGAAUAAAGUAUGUAGAUAGCACCACUCUUCUCUUAAUCAAGUAUUUUAAUGAGUCCCACUUCAUGAGGUUUUCUUGCUUUUUCGUAAGUAGUUGUAACUUUUUUAUAGGCUUGUAAUGAAUGUUUCAAGGUCGUUUACCAUGAGAAAUUUUUCAUUGUGAUUGAAACAGGAAUGAUACACCAUAUAUUUUUAUAUAAGUAAUGAGAAAUUUUAUUUUUUAAGAUAUUAACUUUUUAACAUACAUAUCCCACUAUUUGCAUAAUGACACAUGAUGUUUCAUUCCGUGUUCCAAUCACACUGAAAAAUUUCUCGUUCACCAUCCCUUUUCUAAUCAUGUCAAUGAGUCCCAUUUAAUGACCUUUUCUUGUUUUUUCCUAAAUCAUUAUAACUUUUUUCUUUGCUUCUAAUGAAUGUCACUCUCCAAAGUUGGUUUUUUGUGUUCACGUGAUGCAUCAACCAGCAUCCACAUCCUCUUAAAUAAAUAGUUAAUUUGUUUAACGAAAAAUGAUUUGAUAUCUUAUUAUUGUCUUUUGGUACUCCAUUAAUUUAUACAAUUUUAGUCCUAAUUCCAUUAAUUUAUUAUUGUCUUUUGAUACUCCAUUAUAUGGACAAGACUGAUGAAGAAGAAGAACACCAUAUUCCUUUUCUAACUGUGUACCCAAUGGAACUGACAAAGCAUCAUACAUUCUUGUGCAAGACUGAAUAAUCAGAGAUAUCAUCCAAAUUAUAAGAAAGAGAAAGAGAAAGAGAAAGAGCAUAAGCUGUGCUGCCAGGGUCACCAAGGCAGGGGACUUGAAUCCCAAGGUAUCUUCCAACAGGUGGGCAGCUGAAUAAGGUAACGUUAUGGAUCUCGAAAAUUGACAAGUAGAAGGGAGAGAGUGGCAUGUUUGGGAGUUUUACAGGCCUUAUUAGCAUCAAGCAGUCAUAUGUGUAUGUGCUAUACACUUGGAUUUCUUGACGCUUGUAAUCUAUGCGUUUGACAAAGAAUUUUACUAGGAUUAUCCGCUGCUCAUCUGUCUGAUUGCAUUCAAGCCCAGGAUCACAAUGAUGCUUGAGGUGCAAUGAAAAAUGGAUAGCUGGACCUUGAUCAUUGCUACAUUUGGAUUCGGAGCACGUAAAUUAGCUUGCUUCAACUAGUUUGAAGAAAACCAAUAACAAUAUGCAAAAGGAUGCGAUGAGCAAUUUUUGCAUUUCUAAGCUAGUAAUAGUAAUAAUAAUGUGCAUGGAAUCUAAUUAAGGGCGCACACAUAUAUAUAUACAUACGUAAUAAUUAUAGAGUAUUCUCCAUUAACAAUAUGCAAAAGGAAGAGAGGAGCAAUUCCUUCAUCAUAUCAUUACACAAGUCGGUCUUUGCCAUUGACCGACUUUCCUCUAUGAUAUUUCCUAUGCUAAUCAAUAAUUUGAAGUGCUUACUGCAUGCAACUUCACGGAAGGUGCUUCCUUUUUUAUUACACAAAUUAAAAAUAAAAGAUUAUCUGUCUUAAAUUGUCUUCUCAACUGCCAAGUACUGGAUUGUUUUCGUGGAUGUGACCUUCUCCAACCUACUCUUCUCAAUUACUAAAAUGCUACAAAUGCACUACCAAAAUACUAAAUAAAGGACUUUGAAAUUCCAUAAAAUUCUAUGGAAUUUAUAACUCUUUUAAAAUCCUUCAAAAUCUUAAUUAAACACACCUCUCUAGGUUUUGUCAUCCAAAAACCGUCCCUGCCCUCAGAGGGUACUUUUAUUGAUACCCAAUUUUAUGUUAAGUUCACCAACUAAGAAAUUUUUGUCAUAGCUUCCCAAUGAUCCUCCACUAAUAACAUCAGAAUUUUCAAGCUUCCCCCACCCCCAACUCCGCUGCCACCUCCUCUCUUCUCACGCUGCCUCCCUCCUCCCUCCCUCUCAUUUCAUUGCACAAGUCAAUCUUUGCUAUUGACUGACUGUGUCAAACAAACAUCAUUGACUGACUUUCCUCUAAGAUAUUUUCUAAUUAAUAAUUGGAACUUCACGGAAGGUGCUUGCUUUAACCCCACUCCUAUAUUAUAAUAUGGGUAUGUAUACAACUGUCUAAACUACUACUUUUUGUCUACUAGUGAACAACUCUCUCUCUCUCUCUCUCUCUCUCUUGUACCCAUGGAAAAAAGUGGAAGCAGAUCCUUCACCUUGUCUUGGUGGCCUUUCGUUCUAGCCUUUCUUGUUCUUUGCUUUUGCAGUGAAACUUGUAACGCUAAGGAUGAUAGUAAGUCUUCAUGUACCUCCUCCUGCGGCCUUAUCCAUAACAUAACUUAUCCUUUUCGACUAAACGAUGAUCCGAAGAGAUGUGGCGAUAGAAGGUAUACUCUUUCCUGUGAGAACAACAAUAUUACAGUACUAGAUCUACAUUAUCAUGGUGAAUACUAUGGUAAAUACCACGUACAGGCAAUCAAUUACGAGAACCAAACAAUCCGACUUCGAGAUCCUGGCCUUGACAACAACAAUUGCUCUUCCCUGCCUCGAAAUUUUCCGCCUGUCAAUUUUGCUGGAGUUACAUAUUCUUCAGUUAUGUAUAUGAUUGGUCCAUAUGUUUCACUGUUUUCAACGUCAGUAUAUUACCUGAGGUGUAGAAACCAAGUAAAUUCUUCUCUGUACGUGGAUACUGCUCCAUGCUUGAAUAAUAGUGCCACUUCUUUGAUCCAACCAAAAUCUUAUAGUUAUGUCAUGGUUGACCGCCCAUAUAGCCCAAGCUAUAUGGAAGAUUUGAAUGAGGGUUGCAGAGUCGAGGGGAUGGCUCUCGUGCGGUUGGACUACUCUAGCGGGUCCUACACUAAUGACUCUUAUAGUUAUGAAUUUAUACACAGUGCAGUCAUGAAUGGCUUUGAGGUUCGAGUGUAUUGGCCUGAUGAACUAGAUUCACCCUGCAAUGGCCUCACUUCCACUGGCAAUUGUUAUCCACGCACCAUCCCAGGUGCGUAAUUCUCAAAUGAAGUACUAACUUAUAAUUACUAUGUUCUCGAAUAAGCUUAUUUGAUGGAUCGUUUGUAGAGUUUAUUUUACAUUGUAUUUCAAUAAUUCAUCUGUCUAUCUUUUAGUUCUUUCUUUAAAAGCCAGUCAUACUAAUGUUUUUUUUAGAAAAAUCAUAAUCUUCUAUUUUCUUUACUACAAUUUAAUGUGUUUAUGGUUUUGGAUUUUUCUAAUUUUUUUUAUCUAUGAAUGAUGUACUAAAAUAUAAAUAGUUUAGAUCGUUGUAACAAAUACUAGUGUUUUUUUGAAAAAUCGUAUUCUUCUAUUUUCUUUACUACAAUUGACUGUGUUUAUGGAUUUGGAUUUUUCUAAUUUUUUUUAUCUAUGAAUGAUGUACUAAAAUAUAAACAGUAUAGAUCCUUGUAACAACAUGAGCAGCACCAGUUGUUCCUCAACGGAAGAGGAAUAUAUAUAUAUAUAUAUAUAUAUAUAUAUAUAUAUAUAUUUCUGUGCGAAACCUCCCGCUAAGCCAUUCAUUUUGCUUGAAAAAUAUACUGAAAAUAUAACUUUAGUCCAUAAAAUUUAAUUUUCUCCACAUAAAACCCAAUAUAAGUUUUUUACUCGAAUAAAACUCAUUGACUAGAUUCCAGCAAAUUCAUUAAUUAUAUCUGACUUUACACAUUUAAAAAAUUUUGAUGCCCAAAACACCCCUAUUUGAAUGUUUGAUUUACACAAUUAAUUCCAUACAAAUUGUAAGGGAUAAUUAAUGAUUUUACAAAAAUAAAAAUAAAUAAAUUCAUUGCCUAAUAUAUAAUACCAAUAAAACAUGCCUAAUAAAUGUAGUAAUACAUGCUCAGUUAAGUCAAUAAAAUUAUAUUUUAUAUAUAAAUGUAGGUAAAUUAUUUUACACACACAUAUAUAUAACAACAAAAAAAAAAAUAUGCCUGAUAUACAUAAAAAUUCAAGCAAAAUAAUUUACCUACAUAAUAAAGCAUACCCAAUAUAUGCAAAAUAAUGUACCUACAUAACAAAAUAUUAUUAUUUUAUUCAAUACUAGUUUACCUAUUAUUUGUGCAUAUAAUAAUAAAAUGUGCCUACAUACAAAAUAAAAUACCUACAUAAUGAAGAAAUGUUAUUUGAUUCAAAAUUAAUUUAGUUACAAAAUAAAGCAAUUGUAUUCUAUUCAAGAUUAAUUUACCUAUUAUUCGUACAUAUAUCUUAUAAUAAUAAAAUGUGCCAAAUAUAUGUAAUAAUACAUGGAAAAUAAAUUACCUACAAAGUAAAAGAAUGUUAUUUGAUUCAAUAUUAAUUUACCUACAAAAUGUAUGUUAUUUGCUCAUCAUAAAUUUAAAUAUAGGUAGAUUAAUUAGUUUAAUAUGUUUGAUCAUAUAUGUAGCACUGUGCAUGUAUAUAUAUAUGUGAACGUAUAGUAGUACUAUAUAUAGGUAAACUAUAUAUGUGUGUACACACACACAGAGAUAUAUAUAUAUAUAUAUAUAUAUAUAUAUAUUGAGCUUAUGGUGGUAAUAUAUACAUUUGAACAUAUAUAUGUGUGUUUUAGGGGUAAUAAUAUGUGCAAUAAUUAUAUUUUCAUUGUAAUUAAGGUGAGUAAUAACAUUUAAUGAUUUUAUUUUAAAUAUUGUGGUACAAGUUGUAAAUAUUUGGUAAUAAUAGGUCAAUUACUUCUAUACUUGACAGUUAUUUUUAAAUUUGGAUUUUAUUUAGUUAUUUAUAACUAGGUGGGUUUUUGUCUAGGAAAUAAGAGUUGCAAGGAUCUAUAUCUAAAGAACCCAAAAAUAUAUCAACAAUAUUCACAUCAUGUCAACAGUAUAUAGAUACAUAUAAACAUUAUUAUGGAUAUCAUAUCGUAACAAUAAUAUCUUAAUAAUACAAUAUUUAUGAGGUUAUCUGAACUUUAUAAAGAGAUAAACAUUUCAUCCUAUUAAGACUCUUUAUAUUGUGGUUGUUGUCUAUAUUUCUAUUACAGCUAAACACUUAUAAUUGUUUUUCUUAUAAUUAUUUUUCUUAGGGUAAAUUAUACUUUGCCAUCUUUUGAGAUCGAUUUCAAUUCCUUACAACAUCUUUAAAACAUUUCACUUUCAUAUCUCAAAUACUAUUUUUUUUCAAUAUAGUACAUCUAUUACAUUUUUCAUUCAUUUAUCCGUUAAGAAUUGACGUGACUGCUACAGUUAUGUCACGUGGCUGCCAAAUUUGUGAUAACAAAUUUAUAUUUUUAUUCAUUUAAAAAUAAUUAAUUAAAAAAGAUAUCAAUUAAAAAAAAAAAAAAAACAACCCAGAAGCCAUCUUCUUCCCCGCCCCCCUUCCCUGCAACCCAAACCCCCCAUCACCCCACCCCACCCAAAACCCCCAAAAUCAAAAGGGGGAAUUGAAUUCUCAAGACGAAAAAAAAAAAGCACUUCACACAGAUCCAAUCAGAGCAAAACCCAGAUUUGAUCACACACAGAAACCCUCAAAUUAAAACCCAGAUGCAAAAUCCCCAAAUUUAACUGAAAAUCGCAGCUUAGACGGAGCUAGAAGAUUACCUUACCAUCGACGAUGAGGCAGCAGUCCAUGCGAUCAUUGUGAGUGGAGACCUCAGUCAAAGCAAAGGGAAUUCUAGAGAGAGAAAGAAGAGAGAGAGAGAGAAGAGAAAUGGACUGAGAGAGGGAGAAGAGAAGUGGACUGAGAAGGAGAAAGCAGCUACAAGACCCGAUCCGUCUUCUUCUUCUUGUCUCCGUGGGGGCACCUCUGUGUGUCUUCUGCAACUCUCGUUUCCUGGGUUUUUUAGGGUUUUCGGUUGGGGGGGUUGCGGGGGAGGUGGGGUGGGGUGGAAUGGGGGGUUUGGGUUGCAGGGAGGGGGUCGGGGAAGAAGAUGGGUUCUUGUUUUUUUGUUUUUUUUUAUUUAUUUAUUUUUUAUUUAAAUUAAUAAUUUUUAAAUUAUUUAUUUUUAAAUGAAUAAAAAAAAUUUGCCACGUGGCAUAAAUAUGGCAACCAUAUCAGCUUUUAACGGAUCAAUAGAUGAAAAAUAUAACGGAUGUACUAUAUUGAAAUAAAAUAGUACUUGAUGUAUAAAAGUGAAAUAUUUUAAAGAUAUUGUAAGGAAUUGAAAUCGAUACCAAACUUAAGAUGGUAAAGUGUAAUUUACCAUUUUUCUUAUAUAAUGGCCAUUUCCGAAUACUAUAUCCCAAUUUUGCGGUCAAUUAUAUGACAAAUGAAUUAUGUUGCUUUAUUUCUUAUAUAUGCUAAUGCUGUACAGGUACAAAUGGCAACAACUUGAAUUUUAUUUGCCAACGGUUGUUAUGCUAAUGUUGUUUUAUUCUUUUACUGUAGGUUUCUUUCAACAUGCAUGGGCUAAAAUCCGUGAGUGGCCCCUCUCCAUCCGUAAGUGGUCCCUCUCCAAAACAAAAAUAAAGAAAAUAAAUCUCUCCUUUUUGUUUCUCUUUAAAAUUCAAUAUUUACAACUUUAGAGUAGACCU
rnacentral:lncRNA from 1 species